rnacentral:snoRNA from 1 species
GUAUGACCUUCCAAGUUUUAUAAAGAAGACGAUGAUAUUAUUUGCGUUUUAUUUCAAUCGAACAAUUCUUCUCAGGUUCGCUUUGUGCUGCCUGAGGUUUUAAUGGAGAGUGUGGUUCCUGCGCAGCCUUUUAAUCUUGUUACAUUCUAUGAAUGACAAGGACACUUUAUAGAAAAUUCUGAUUCUUUCAGCAAAGAUUGAAGGUCUAUAU